UAUCAUAGUGUCAUGGUAUAUAACAUCUCUGCUUACUAUUUAAACAAGUAUAGGUGUGUUUUUAACUGUUUGUGACUAUGUUUAAACCAGUUUGUUAAAUGAACAAUUUAAAAGGUUUGUAAAUUUUAAGUUUGUGUGCAGUUUUUAAAGCUUAUUACAAAUUCUUCAGUCGGAUAGUGUUAAUAGCUUGUUGGAUAUUUGAGAAGGGAUAUAGUUUUACGACAAAGUGAUUGUCACAAACAAGUGUAGAUUACACUAGUAGAGGGCCUAAGGCAGGUAUAUUACUUACGGAGAUAAUUUGCGAUAGAUAUAUGACCGAUAACAUUGUCAUGUGCUAUUCUGACGGAAUAUUAAACAUUGAUAAUUACUGCUGCAUUUUGAUACCCCUCAUUCAUUAAUAAAUCUAUUUUUCUCGGGUAACUGAUCCGUGGAAGCACUGCACAGGUGGAAUACUUUGAAAGAAACUUUUUAAUUUCUCAAGGAAAAAAAAAAUAAUCAGAUAUCUGUGAACCUUUUAAGUGAACGCCUGCUGGGAUAAUUUUCGUUCUGGAAAUAUAGCUUGUUUGUGUAAAUAAUUUUUUCAAGGAUUUCUCGUUUUAGUAAUAUCAUUCCUACAUUUCUGCAAGGACUGGGACUUUGGAAUUAUUUGUGAAAUUUCAGCGGAUAUACUCUUGAAGGUGUGAAUCAACAUAUCAAGUGAUUGGAUAUCGGCUUUUCUGCUGACAAGUACUUCAAAAAAAGUGUUUAAACUGAUGUAAAGAUUUGAGAACAUUUCAAACGCAGGAUUAUAACGCAUUUACAGUUUGGGAGUUACUAUGUAAGAUGAGCCGACUUGCCCCAGUUUAAGAGAUGGGGCAAAGGAUUUACAAACUGGAAGUGUUGGCCUUCAUUCUGCUUGUCACUUUAUACAUCUACAAAGUUGAUGCAAACCCUGAGCCUGCCUCUCCAGUACAAGGACGUGCCCCCACUACCAGAAAUGAAUAUCCAAAAAUAGGGGAAGGACCGAAGGAUAAAUUCUUUGCCAAGAACUUGCCAGCCAGUCUAGAUUGCCUUGCUUCAGGUGUUCCGACCCCAACCAUCACCUGGUACCAGAAUGGAAAGGAAGUUCAGUUCGACAAGGACCACUAUCGUAUGCUGUUACCUGAUGGUCAGCUGUUUUUUCUCCGAUUCAUAUACACCAAGAACCAGACACAUGUUGGAACCUAUUAUUGCAAGGCAGCUAACAGCCUAGGCGAGGUUGUCAGCAGAGAGGCCACAGUGAAAGUUGCAGUGAUUAAAGAUGAUUUCCGCCAAGAGCCAGUCGACACUACUCGAUCAAUACAUUCCACUGUAACUCUGCAUUGCAAACCACCACGAGGGGAACCGGACCCGAAAAUCUCAUGGCAGCACAAUGAUCGACCAGUUUCAUUGGGUGACAGGAUCACGCAGCACAAAGAUGGUGACCUGACGAUUACUACAUUGACUGCACAAGACAGUGGGGAGUAUGUGUGUUUGGCGACAAACAAGGCUGGUGUACGACAGAGCUCACCAGCACUGCUGAAAGUCCUCGAGGUACCAGAGAUUACCGGUUUCCCAGAAGAUGUAAUGAGAGAGGAAGGUUCGACUGUAGAAUUUCAUUGUGAGGUUCUUGGCGAGGCAGACAUACAAUGGAAGAAAGAAGGUGGUACGUCUAACAAGCAGAAGUGGCGACAGUUGCCAGAUAACACGUUACGUAUCGAGAACGUUGAGGCUGAUGAUGAAGGCACGUACGUCUGCACAGCUGAAAAUGCAGCUGGUGUUGUUGAAGCAGCUGCUCAUCUAAAAAUAGAAUAUACCCCUAAGUUCUUGGUCAGACCGCAUGAUCAGGUGGUGGCUGUUGGUCGUACCAUAUCUCUGCACUGCUCAGCUGCCGGCUACCCCCAGCCAACUAUCUACUGGGAAACCAAAGCUAAGAAAGACCUGAUGUUUGUGAAAUACCAGUCAGACCGUUUCUCGGUGUCGGAUGACGGCACUCUUAGAAUAGAGCGAAUUCAAAAAUCGGACCAGGGAUCCUAUUCGUGUAUCGCUUAUAGUUCUAAAGGAAAGGCGCAGGCAUCAGCUGACAUCAGCGUUCGAGACAAUGACCUUCGACCUCCCCCGAUCAUCCGGUUUGGACCGAUCAACCAGACACUGGAGGAAGAUGCAGUGGCACUGUUACGUUGCCAGGCUACCGGAGAUCCGAAACCUAUCAUACGCUGGUACAAAAAUGGCCGCUCCCUCGAUAAAAAGGAUGCCAGAUAUUUGCUGCUUGAUUCGGGAACCCUGCAAAUUUCAAGUUUGAAAAUUUCAGAUUCCGGGAACUACAUGUGCAAGGCUGGCAGUGAAACAGGGGAGACAACGAUGACUGCAAAAUUGAUUGUAGAAUCUGAAGGAAGGAGUUUCAUUAAAUCACCACCAGACCUGACCGAGUUCCCUGGAGCGCCAGAGAAACCUGUUGUCAGUGAUGUCACAGAUACGAGUGUCAGGUUGUCAUGGAAACUGUUCCGCGAUACAGGGGCAUCUCCAGUUGAUUCGUACCAAGUAGAGUACUUCGGAUAUGGCUUAUCAGAGUCCUGGAAAAUAGCUGGAGCCCGUUAUACCAGUACAGAUAUAACCGUAGAUGGACUUGUUCCCAACACUACUUACGUAUUCCUUGUCAGAGCAAUAAACAGCCAUGGAAAAGGGGGACCCAGUCCAUUGUCUGAGAUUAUUCGAACUCUUGAGAAAGGUCACAAUGUGGUACCAACAAUUACGCUCCCAGUAGCUGAGAUAGAAGAAAGAUUACGAGACAUUCAGGUGUCCUUGCUGCGAGGAGAAGCUGUCAACUCCAGCGCUAUCAGAAUCAGUUGGAUGGUGAAUACCGAGAACAAAGUCGUUACAGGGUUCGUGGUACAGUACAGACAUAUCCUUAACAUGGGUGAUCGCCAUGAUCAUCGAUACGGUCAGACUGUGAUAAAACGAGUCCCCUACCGGCCAUUAUCCCACACAAUCACGGGACUGGAAAGCUAUGAAUAUUACGAAAUAUGUGUAAUGGCUGCCAGUGGGACACUUACAUCGUCAUGCAGUAAACCAAUGAAGAUACAGUCUGGUGAAUCAGUUCCCACAAGGCCGCCAAAAGACACAGUAAUCGAGAGAGUAAGUGACUCGGAGGUUCUCGUGAAAUGGUCUGCACCUGAUAUAGAGCACAGGAAAGGGGAAAUAAUUGGAUAUCAGGUCAAGUGUUCAAGUGAGGAUGGAAUUCACAACUGUAGCAAGCAUACAAAUGGUUCCACGCAUGAAGUGAAAAUAGAUGGACUGGUGCCCGGCGUCAACUACAAUAUUGAGAUAGCUGCACAAACUCAGAAAGGUGUUGGAAAAUUUAGCACUGCUCUUUCUAUUGGGCCAGAUGAGAAUCAGAUUACGAAGAAGGCGUGGUUUAUUGGUAUGAUUGGCGCAUUGGGAGGCAUUCUAUGGUUGGGUCUCUGUAUAUUCACUGUAUGGCUGUGUAAGAGUCGGAAACGAAGGAAGAAGUUGAAGGAACAGUGGUAUACAGGUGGUCCCAGAACAAGUGAUAAAACAUCGGAAAGGAAUGGCAGUGUUGCAAGGAAAGGUUAUGGUGUUAAAGAUGGGAACUUUCAGGAUACUAAUGAAGCAGGUUUACCACCAGAGUACAACACAUUAUUACAGCAGUCACAACAUGAGAGCAGUGAUAACCAGUCUGACACCAUGUACAAUAUGGCUAACCAUCCUGAAAUGAAGACGUUCUACCAACAGUCAGGCCCUGUGACCCCUUAUGCCACCACAGCCCUGCUACAGGCCCAGGCCCAAGCACAGAAUUCAAGAAAACAGUCUGGCGAUCAGUUGUUCGUCCAAUUAAUCCAGGUUGUAAACAAUACAGUGGCGGUUCCGGCGACUCGGCUACAGACAGAUCCAUAACUACAGACGUGUCCAUAGAAUCUCGAGAACCUAACAGAAGUUCAGCCGGAGACAGCGGUCAUUUGUCAGAUGAAAACGGGAUGUUGAUCAAACAGCUCCGUAAGCCUGGUUACCGGCCUGGAAUGCCUCAGACCCAGCCUGUUGUCA
rnacentral:misc_RNA from 1 species